UGGGGAAUAUUGCACAAUGGGCGCAAGCCUGAUGCAGCAACGCCGCGUGAGGGACGACGGCCUUCGGGUUGUAAACCUCUUUUAGUAGGGAAGAAGCGAAAGUGACGGUACCUGCAGAAAAAGCACCGGCUAACUACGUGCCAGCAGCCGCGGUAAUACGUAGGGUGCGAGCGUUGUCCGGAAUUAUUGGGCGUAAAGAGCUCGUAGGCGGUCUGUCGCGUCUGCUGUGAAAACCCGAGGCUCAACCUCGGGCCUGCAGUGGGUACGGGCAGACUAGAGUGCGGUAGGGGAGAAUGGAAUUCCUGGUGUAGCGGUGGAAUGCGCAGAUAUCAGGAGGAACACCGAUGGCGAAGGCAGUUCUCUGGGCCGUAACUGACGCUGAGGAGCGAAAGCGUGGGGAGCGAACAGGAUUAGAUACCCUGGUAGUCCACGCCGUAAACGUUGGGCGCUAGAUGU
rnacentral:rRNA from 1 species